UGGGGAAUAUUGGACAAUGGGCGAAAGCCUGAUCCAGCCAUGCCGCGUGUGUGAAGAAGGUCUUCGGAUUGUAAAGCACUUUAAGUUGGGAGGAAGGGCAAUAACCUAAUACGUUAGUGUUUUGACGUUACCGACAGAAUAAGCACCGGCUAACUCUGUGCCAGCAGCCGCGGUAAUACAGAGGGUGCAAGCGUUAAUCGGAAUUACUGGGCGUAAAGCGCGCGUAGGUGGUUUGUUAAGUUGGAUGUGAAAUCCCCGGGCUCAACCUGGGAACUGCAUUCAAAACUGACUGACUAGAGUAUGGUAGAGGGUGGUGGAAUUUCCUGUGUAGCGGUGAAAUGCGUAGAUAUAGGAAGGAACACCAGUGGCGAAGGCGACCACCUGGACUAAUACUGACACUGAGGUGCGAAAGCGUGGGGAGCAAACA
rnacentral:rRNA from 1 species